rnacentral:rRNA from 1 species
GAACCGUACAAACGUUAUUCGGAAUCACUGGGCUUAAAGGGUGCGUAGGCGGUCCGGCAAGUUGGGUGUGAAAUCCCUCGGCUCAACCGAGGAACUGCGCUCAAAACUGCCGGACUCGAGGGAGACAGAGGUGAGCGGAACUUGCGGUGGAGCGGUGAAAUGCGUUGAUAUCGCAAGGAACACCAGUAGCGAAAGCGGCUCACUGGGUCUCUUCUGACGCUCAGGCACGAAAGCUAGGGGAGCGAACGGGGGAUUAGAUACCCCGGUAGUCCUAGCUGUAAACGAUGAGCACUAGGUUGAGGCUCCUCCAUAGGCUUCCAGCCGGAGCGAAAGUGUUAAGUGCUCCGCCUGGGGAGUAUGGUCGCAAGGCUG